AACACAAUGAAACAAUUCAUGUUGAACGUGUAUUUCAUAAUUUUUACGUGGGUUAAAGGCAAAAGUUGGAACAACUCGCAUACUCUUUUUAUCUCCUGUAUGUAGUGAUGUAGGGGUGUCAGCAAACAAGGAAACUGACAUUUUUCCCCCUGAGAAAGGAGAAUUCUAUCUAACUGCACAUGAACAAAAUUUAGAAAAAAAAACUCUAUGCCCAAAGCAACGUCACUACCAAAAAUAAGAUGAAGGCAAGUCCAAAACAGACUCCAACAAGUGCCAUGAAAGCCUUCCCCUCAGACUCGAACUUAAAUUUGACAGUGAACCAUGACAAUCCUCUGUCAACAAAAGGUGCAAGAGCAAGGGCCCUGAAGAAGAGUAACCUCUUUAAGAAAUGGACACACUUCAAAAUGUAUACUGCAUUCAUAAUUAUAUGCUUCACACUCUAAAACAAUAAAAACAGCAAUCACUAUCAAAAUUACACAAUUCUAAAUAGAAAUGUCAAUGUAACAAUCUCAUUAAAAACAUGAGAAAAAUAAGCACAACAAUAAUCAUUAUUAUUCGUAUGAGAAUAUCAGUUUUCAAAACCCUAUAGGGACGGGUGCAAGAAUUUGGCAUGAUUAAUAAACCAAGAAAAUUUAAGUAAUAAAUAAAUGUGCAACAAGUUCAGGUUAUUCAUGAAUAUCAUCAUAGACUGGAAAAUUUAAGAUGGUAAUUGAGUUCUAGCAGCUCACCCUCCAGCUCUUACAAGCUUAGUAACUUGACUCCCUGCCCACACCAUGGCCAUCACUUUCAGAAAUCUGCAAAUUAUAACAAUUUUGGCAUCAUUUUCUACUCUCAUUAGUCCUGAGAAAAAGACUGCUUACCUUUCAACAGCAGCGAAGUAACCCAUUUUUGCAGGAGAUGGAGCAACAUAAAACCUAGCAAGCAUAUGAAAUAGUAUUAAACAGUCAUAGGACCUCAACUGAGAGAUAUGCCAAAAACACCACUGAUACAAUCCGCAAACAACAUUUUCUCUGGACCACGAUGCACUUAGUUCUACAUGAAAAUAAAUCCAAAUACACUUCGAACUUUGUUACAAUGGAAAUCAUCACCAACAAAGUUGCUACAUGCUCCUCAUCUAUUUUUCUGCCAUCAUAUAUAAGAGAAAAUCUAAUAACUCUAACAAAUGAUGAGAGGUAGGAGCAGAAGAAGACCUUAUCCUAAUCUCCUACAAUCUGCCCAACCCUAAAUUUAAAACACCUCUCUCUCUCUUUUGGGGGUGGGGGUGGGAGGAGGGGCAAAAAGAGAGUAUGUUGGAGAUAUGGUGCAAUGAGAAGAAACAUACAUCAAUUUAUUUGAAAAGUUAUUUCACUCACCACACCAACAGAAAGGUUGUGAGGUAGUAUGCAGUAUUCAAAAGCCCAUAGGACAAUAUUCCAGAAAUUCCAUAUCUCUUCAGUUUCUUCAGUAUCUCGCUGGAUGUGAGUGAUUCUUGACCAUUAUUGGUUUUCUCCCUCGAACCUGAAAAACUUGAAGUGAAAUUUUAAUUAUGAAAUACAAUAGCCGGCAUCAAAAUGUAACUCAUUAUAAGCAACUACAUGAAGAAAUAAUAUACCUUCAACGUUAGAAGUAGAGAUGUCAGGAUUUGACGAACCAUAAGCCUGACCUUAAUAUCAUGUACAAAACAUAAGCAUGUUUAGAAUACACUACCUAAUUUUAACAGAAAAUGGAAAGAAGCAUACUUAUAAAAUAAUAGCACGGUCACUGCCUAUAAUAAUCAAGUAAAUAUUCAGCUAAACUAAAUGAAAAUCAAUCAUUUCGGGCAAUCCGAAUAGGGAUUUUGUGAAUUGUCAAAAAGCGGCUAAAUUUGAAUUCUCAAUUAAUAGAAUCUGUCACUCACGUUGCUUUCGCCGUUAACUGAGCAGAGACGUCGAGUAUGACUCCAAUGCAGCGAAGAAUUCUCCAACUUCUGCAGGUUAUAAUGCCUUGAAACGCCAGAAAUGAAGUUGCAGGGGAGGUCGUUGAAACCCAGGUGAUGCAACGAGAGGAUACAGCAGCCUGUGAUUUUCAGAGAGAAAGACGACAUUGGUGAAUAGGAG
rnacentral:misc_RNA from 1 species